AGAAACACAUAUACACACACACACACACACACACACACACACACACAACACGGCAUGAAUGUGCAAUCAGUCAAGUGAGGUGAAAACCCGACUGUAUGUAAAUAAAGGAUGUGGAAGUGUAUCCGACAGCCCCCCCCCCCCCAAAAAAAAGGGCUGUGUGCCUGCCUGCACAGUGGGCGGGCGUGACAAGCAGGCUGAAGCUGCGGGCAAAAGACUGCACAGAUGAAGCAGAAAAGUGUGCUAUUUAGCACCGCGCGCCUGUCUGUGCAUUUUAAACACGAGCCAGACUCGCAGUCACUCUGGCACACAACAACACGUGGAUCGAUAUUUGUGUGGAUGGCGCACAAACCAACAGCUCUCAGCUCAGCAUGUCCUUCAGGAAUAUGGCGGAGGGACUGAGGGCAGUUGAAAAUGGAUUGCUGUAGUGGAGACUGUGGAGGAGCGCAUGUUUAUUUGGGCCAUUUCUUGUCAUAUAUGCUGACCAGAUGCGGAAAGGAGAAUGAGUGAAG